rnacentral:rRNA from 1 species
AUUGAACGCUGGCGGCAGGCCUAACACAUGCAAGUCGAGCGAGCGGCGGACGGGUGAGUAAUGUCUGGGAAACCGCCCGAUGGAGGGGGGUAACCACUGGAAAAGGUAGCUAAAACCGCAAUCCAACAGAUGUGCCCAGAUGGGAUGAGCUAGUAGGUGGGGUAACGGCCUACCUAGGCGAUGAUCCCUAGCUGGUCUGAGAGGAUGACCAGCCACACUGGAACUGAGACACGGUCCAGACUCCUACGGGAGGCAGCAGUGGGGAAUAUUGCACAAGGGGCGCAAGCCUGAUGCAGCCAUGCCGCGUGUGUGAAGAAGGCCUUCGGGUUGUAAAGCACUUUCAGCGGGGAGGCGUUACCCGCAGAAGAAGCACCGGCUAACUCCGUGCCAGCAGCCGCGGUAAUAC